rnacentral:rRNA from 1 species
CAGCAGCCGCGGGAAUACGAAGGGUGCAAGCGUUAAUCGGAAUUACUGGGCGUAAAGCGUGCGCAGGCGGUUUCGUAAGACAGAUGUGAAAUCCCCGGGCUUAACCUGGGAACUGCAUUUGUGACUGCGAGGCUAGAGUGUGUCAGAGGGGGGUGGAAUUCCACGUGUAGCAGUGAAAUGCGUAGAUAUGUGGAGGAACACCGAUGGCGAAGGCAGCCCCCUGGGAUAACACUGACGCUCAUGCACGAAAGCGUGGGGAGCAAACAGGAUUAGAUACCCCUGUAGUCCCUGUCUCUUAUAU